GAUUGUUGCACAGCUCAGGUAUAAGCCACCAUGGGGUUUGAUGCCUACUGCUCUAAAAUGUUACUGCUUCUGAUUUCCAUUUAGGGAAGAAACAUCUUCAUUGUUAUGGGGAGAGCUCUCAGACA